UACGGAGGGUGCGAGCGUUGUUCGGAAUCACUGGGCGUAAAGCGCGUGUAGGCGGUUCUCUAAGUCUGAUGUGAAAGCCCGGGGCUCAACUCCGGAAGUGCAUUGGAUACUGGGGAACUCGAGUACCGGAGAGGAGGGUGGAAUUCCUGGUGUAGCGGUGAAAUGCGUAGAUAUCAGGAGGAACACCUGUGGCGAAGGCGGCCCUCUGGACGGAUACUGACGCUGAGACGCGAAAGCGUGGGGAGCAAACAGG
rnacentral:rRNA from 1 species